UGGGGAAUAUUGCACAAUGGGCGGAAGCCUGAUGCAGCGACGCCGCGUGAGGGAUGACGGCCUUCGGGUUGUAAACCUCUUUCAGUAGGGACGAAGCGUAAGUGACGGUACCUGCAGAAGAAGCACCGGCUAACUACGUGCCAGCAGCCGCGGUAAUACGUAUGGAGCAAGCGUUAUCCGGAUUCAUUGGGCGUAAAGCGCUCGUAGGCGGUCUGUUAGGUCGGCAAGUUAAAUCCGGGGGCUCAACCCCCGUCCGCUUCCGAUACCGGCAGACUUGAGUUUGGUAGGGGAAGGUGGAAUUCCUAGUGUAGCGGUGGAAUGCGCAGAUAUUAGGAAGAACACCGGUGGCGAAGGCGGCCUUCUGGGCCAUAACUGACGCUGAGGAGCGAAAGCUAGGGGAGCGAACAGG
rnacentral:rRNA from 1 species